CGGUGUUUAACUGGCGUGAUGUGGGACGUCCUACCGGUGGGCUUAGCCUCGCGAGGGGCGGCCCAACUAAUAUCCCGUCGCGGUGCUCUUUACUGGGUGUCGAGUCGGGCCGGUACGUUUACUUUGAACAAAUUAGAGUGCUUAAAGCAGGCUAUCCUCGCCUGAAUACUGCGUGCAUGGAAUAAUGGAAUAGGACCUCGGUUCUAUUUUGUUGGUUUUCGGAACCCCGAGGUAAUGAUUAAUAGGGACAGAUGGGGGCAUUCGUAUUGCGACGUUAGAGGUGAAAUUCUUGGAUCGUCGCAAGACGGACAGAAGCGAAAGCAUUUGCCAAAAAUGUUUUCAUUAAUCAAGAACGAAAGUUAGAGGUUCGAAGGCGAUCAGAUACCGCCCUAGUUCUAACCAUAAACGAUGCCAGCUAGCGAUCCGCCGAAGUUCCUCCGAUGACUCGGCGGGCAGCUUCCGGGAAACCAAAGCUUUUGGGUUCCGGGGGAAGUAUGGUUGCAAAGCUGAAACUUAAAGGAAUUGACGGAAGGGCACCACCAGGAGUGGAGCCUGCGGCUUAAUUUGACUCAACACGGGAAACCUCACCAGGCCCAGACACCGGAAGGAUUGACAGAUUGAUAGCUCUUUCUUGAUUCGGUGGGUGGUGGUGCAUGGCCGUUCUUAGUUGGUGGAGCGAUUUGUCUGGUUAAUUCCGAUAACGAACGAGACUCUAGCCUGCUAAAUAGGCGUACCUUAUGGUAUCGCGAAGGCCCCCGGCUUCGGCCGGUGGGUUUUUACUACCAACGUACAAACAAAUCUUCUUAGAGGGACAGGCGG
rnacentral:rRNA from 1 species